CCCCUAGAUGUUCUGGGCCGCACGCGCGCUACACUGAACAGUUCAACAAGUCUUAACCUUGGCCGAUAGGUCUGGGUAAUCUUUGAACGCUGUUCGUGAUUGGGAUAGACCUUUGCAAUUAUAGGUCUUCAACGAGGAAUUCCUAGUAAACGCAAGUCAUCAGCUUGCAUUGAUUACGUCCCUGCCCUUUGUACACACCGCCCGUCGCACCUACCGAUUGAAUGGUCCGGUGAAAUCUCGGGACGGCGGCUUGGUCGCUUGCGUCCGACUGCUGAAACUUGAUUAAACCAUAUCAUUUAGAGGAAGGUGAAGUCGUAACA
rnacentral:rRNA from 1 species